rnacentral:tmRNA from 1 species
GGGGGCGUACUGGAUUCGACCUGGUCGAGACGCCGGAAGCGGCAUGCCGAGGAUGAUCCGUUGGCCUCGUUAAUCACCGGAUCAAAAACAUUAAGUGCCAACGAAGAAUUGGCCCUCGCGGCCUAAUUAGCCGCGACGUUCCCCGCUGGACGCCUGCUACGGCGGAGGAACGCCACAGCAGGCAUGGGUUGUGGCGGUGCCGGCGCACCCCAGCCCGAGACAUCUCUGCCGGCUAUGACGGCGGUAGGUGGCCGAAAGCCCACCCGCCGGAAGAAAAUCUCUUUCGGCUAAGCAUGUAGUCGCAACCGGGGAAUCGGUCAGGGACGCGGGUUCAACUCCCGCCGCCUCCACCA